GAAUUCUUGAUUUUCAGGCUCAACUAUCGUAACUAUAGGGAUGUUUACAAAAAGACGCUAUUGGAACCCACUAAUUCUGAGCUUAAACUAGAUUUACAAAUUUUAGAGGACACUCUCUCCAUCACUGACAUCAUCAUUGCCAGAGAGCACGCCAAAAUACUCCUCAGAAAAGAAUUCCCAGAAAGAGUCGCAGUGUUAGAAAAAGGGAAAAAAAGCUGGCUCACGCACAAUACAAAAACAUUCUCUGAAUUGGUCGUGCUUUCUGAGAAAGGGAGAGGACUAUGGAGUCAGCUCUCAACGGUGGAGAAAACAACCCUUUUUGAUGCCAUAGGUUAUACUGAGAAAGCUACGGUUGACACAGUUGAGUCAGAGCAAUAUGUAGGUGGGUAUCAGCUUGUUUUCUAAAUUAUGGUAUACUAUGCAAGUAUGGUAUACUUUCGAAAAGUGGCAGGCCAAGGGUGCCCAAGUAGCAUGGAUUGCAAUAAGUUGUAAUUUAAUCGUCUGAAAAUUGCAAUUUAGUAGUGUGCCGUGAAAUUGCAUAUCCUCUUAUCAGAAGGCGCGGAAAAAUUGCAAUUAAAUCGCAAUUUAUGGCAAUAAAUUGCGAUAAAAUCACAAUUUGCCGUGUUUAGAGCGGAUUGCCUACCCUACUUCAUCAACUUUUAAGUAUAUUACAAUAAUAUCACGGUAAUGAUUGCAGUUUCACAAAGUUAAGUUUCACAAUGUUUAGUUUCACAAUGUUUUCAAAUGUUAAGUUGUAAUGUUAAGUGUGGAAAAUUCGGAAAUAUCCGGUAAAAUGUGGCAACGUUCAGAAAAAUCGGAUUUUUCGCACAUUUCAGCACUGUAAAAAGCGCCGUUCUCAAUGAAACUUGGCAACGUCAAUCGUUUCAGAUGUUUUAGUCAAGUUUUGGUAACACUUUAAAUCGAAAUCAAUCGUAAUUUAAUUGCAAUUUUGCGUCACGAUUUUAUCGCAGCGAUCGCGGAAAAUCGACCAUUUGUUGUCCGAAAAUUGCAAUUUUAUCACAAUCGAUUGCAACUCAAUAACAAUCGAAUUGCAAUUCUUACGUUGAAAAAUGCUACUUGGGUGGUGUCAGUGACUCUAUUGAUGUCAUCGAAGGGUUGAAACACAAAUACAUUGUUUAAUUUAAAAGUUCUGGACUCGCCAAAUCCAAUCAACUCUACCAUAUGUUCUAAUUAAGUAACAGAUUGAGCUGCUCUCUCAACUCGGCCUGUCACCCGCCACUUUUUGCCGCAUGGACCCUAGGACUGACUCAAUUUUGAGAAAAGCCAAAUAAGUUUAAUAAAUUUAUGCAACCCAAUUAUUUAUUCCUCAAUUUGUUUCUUUCUUUUCUUUUAUUUUCCUUCUGAUUUAACAUGAGCAAUUAAAGCCAUGCAAUUACAUGCCCAAUGAUUGAACAGAAUAAUGGUGUUCCGGUGGAAAUUGGAUAUAACAACCUUCUAGGGACUAUCCUUC
rnacentral:lncRNA from 1 species